rnacentral:rRNA from 1 species
UCCGAAGGGGGCUAUCGUUGUUCGGAAUCACUGGGCGUAAAGCGCACGUAGGCGGACCUAUAAGUCAGGGGUGAAAUCCCGGGGCUCAACCUCGGAACUGCCUUUGAUACUGUGGGUCUCGAGACCGGAAGAGGUGGGUGGAAUUCCUAGUGUAGAGGUGAAAUUCGUAGAUAUUAGGAAGAACACCAGUGGCGAAGGCGGCUCACUGGUCCGGUUCUGACGCUGAGGUGCGAAAGCGUGGGGAGCAAACAGG